rnacentral:rRNA from 1 species
UGCGUAGGCGGAUUUUUAAGUGAGAUGUGAAAUACCCGGGCUCAACCUGGGGGCUGCAUUUCAAACUGGAAAUCUAGAGUGCAGGAGAGGAAAGUGGAAUUCCUAGUGUAGCGGUGAAAUGCGUAGAGAUUAGGAAGAACACCAGUGGCGAAGGCGACUUUCUGGACUGUAACUGACGCUGAGGCACGAAAGCGUGGGGAGCAAACAGGAUUAGAUACCCCUGUA